UGGGUAAUUUGCGCGCCUGCUGCC
rnacentral:siRNA from 1 species